GCCGCUUUUGUUUAUACUAGGAAGCCUUCCGUGCCGGGCUUUGACUUCCACUCUCACUUUUUGUUGUUGCUUUUUUUCAUUUCUUAAACAUUUCUCUAGUUUCUGUAGCGUCGAACUCCUUUAGAUUUCUGACAGGAUUUCUUUCCCUCUGUCAUUUAGCUGAAGUCCGGCUAACUUUUUUCUUGUUUAGAAACUUUUAUACCUUUAAGCAUUAUCCUUCGACAAAAGACUGAUGGUACUUCUCCCCUCAGUUCGGUAGAAAGGGGUUGCUGAAAGGUGCCCCCUCUUCUAUCCACAACUAGAAGGAGAGGUACUUCUACGUCCGAUGUCCGACCCUGAUGCUGGGGUUGCCCCCCUAGGGCUCCCUGAGAGACUCCGUCCGUCGGGCUUCUAGCCUGGGAAAGGACGAUCUUGAAGCCUCCAAUAAACUCAAGACUUAUCCAACUCCUCUCCUCUCCGACCUUCUGAAGGAGCAAGUUUUAUUCAAUGUCGGCCUGAGCCCUCUCGACCCUGUCGGUAUUUUUUCUUUCUCAAGUCGUUCACUGCUUCCUCUUUCUCUUAUUCUGUUUCUAAGUUG
rnacentral:lncRNA from 1 species